UCUGAGUCUGGAUUGGAUAAGCGCUGAAAGCAUCUAAGUGCGAAGCCAGCCGCAAGAUGAGAACUCCAUUGAGGGUCGUCAGAGACGAUGACGUUGAUAGGAUGCAGGUGUAAAGACAGCGAUGUCAAAGCCGAGCAUUACUAAUUGCCCGAACACUUUCUUUAG
rnacentral:rRNA from 1 species